UUAGUAUAAAGUUAAACUGCUAGCUAAAAGUUUAAAACCAAGAAGGAUAAUUUUAACAGGAGAUAUGAACGAAAGAAUUGAACCAUGAUAAAACGCGACAUGCACUACAAAUUGAAGGUAUGAAAUUAAGUUAAAUGAAAGCUCGUUUAUUCACCAUAUGAUGCUCGUUAUAAGGUAAUCAUACAGGCUAGAUACCUUGAGUUAACGAGGUCGUUUACAUGCACGUGAGUGCACGGAUAUCGGUUAAUUAUUCAAAUUACUGAAAAACACGGAGAAAACCGCAACCGCAUCGUCAUGUGUUUUUCUAAGAUGUAUGCAAACAGGGGAAAUAUCGCCAAACCCACAAUUAAUUUGACCAAAACCUCACAUAUCAUCAUUUGUAUGCACAGAUUGGAUGCAUUGUGUGUUGUAAGCUUUUCGUGGCGCUAGAUGUCAGACAGAUGCAAAUGGCAAAUACAUACGAAAGUGUAAAACGUGUAUGGCGAACAUUUGUUUUUUUCUGUCAUUAUAGAUGCUAGUUUGGUGAAAGUUCACACUGAGUGCUUCAAAUCAUUCAGAAGAGAUGCUGUUUUUAGGGCAGUUUAUUAAAGAAGACCUGACAUGGAUGACUUCCAAUGAGAAACGACUGCUAAUACUUAUAUAAAUUCAUUACAGAAGGACCCUACCAGGCUAUAUUUGAAUACGGCAUACCCAUGAAUUCUGGAACUGUUAUUCCUUAACCCAGUUUGGAGGAUAAGAGCUUACCAACUAGUUAUAAAUAUGCUGAGGUGAUGUAUUGCAAAAUAGCCAACAUACAACAAUAUGGAUGACCCUCUGUCUGGUCAACAGGAGUUUAAAUAUGGACGGGACAGUGAUGUGGCAGCUCUUCCCUGGCUCAUUCACCUCUUGCCUUUCAUUUGUGAAAGGAAGAAAGAAGAAAGAAGAAAGAGGGUCAAUGUGCAACUGAAGCUACUGAUUGUGCUGUGUGAUGAGCAUCAAUCCAUGCUUUGAGGGGGAUGAAUCAGCACAGCCCUGCCUGCACUGCAUUGGGAACAGAAGUUGCAUCCAGAAUUUUUGCAUCAUUCUGGACCAAAAAGCCAUUCCCUCCAUGAUGAAGACCACUGAUGCAGCCUUCCGCUACAUCAUGAGUAAAACAACUACAGAACUAAAUACCAGGUUGGAACGUAUUUAAGAAAAAUGAAACGUCUUUUUAAUUGAAAUGUCUGUUUUGUUAUGGAAAAAUCUUUAGUAUUGUGAAGGAUAAGCAUUUCUGCCUGCCAGUAAGGUAAUUGCAGUGUAUUUUAAUGUUCAAGUUUUGAGUAGGGUGGCUAAUUUUUUUUAAACUCUCAUUUGAUAUAUUAAAGACCUUAUAAUAAGUGGUUUUCAUGUCACUGCGCUGUGGUAUAAGAUAACUUUCAUUAUUCCAUACUGUAUUCUGUAUUCUAAUUGUAGCUGAGGUAUUUAAAUAAGCAGUGUUAAAUGCAAAGUGUUGUGUGUAUCAAUGUAAAUAUUAAAUGUGAUGUACUUUAAUAAAAAGAGGUUUUGCAAUAUUUCUUGUCAUUUGUCUUUUAU